rnacentral:rRNA from 1 species
CCUACGGGCGGCAGCAGUGGGGAAUAUUGGACAAUGGGCGAAAGCCUGAUCCAGCCAUGCCGCGUGUGUGAAGAAGGCCUUCGGGUUGUAAAGCACUUUCAGUGGGGAAGAAAGCCUUGGGGCUAAUACCCUCGAGGAAGGACAUCACCCACAGAAGAAGCACCGGCUAACUCCGUGCCAGCAGCCGCGGUAAUACGGAGGGUGCGGGCGUUAAUCGGAAUUACUGGGCGUAAAGCGCGCGUAGGCGGUCUGAUAAGCCGGUUGUGAAAGCCCCGGGCUCAACCUGGGAACGGCAUCCGGAACUGUCAGGCUAGAGUGCAGGAGAGGAAGGUAGAAUUCCCGGUGUAGCGGUGAAAUGCGUAGAGAUCGGGAGGAAUACCAGUGGCGAAGGCGGCCUUCUGGACUGACACUGACGCUGAGGUGCGAAAGCGUGGGUAGCAAACAGGAUUAGAUACCCCAGUAGUC